AAACUUUGCAAUGUGCGAAAGCACGACAAGGUUAAUCCGAGUGUUUUCUGUUAAAGAAAUCUUUUGUUAGUCCUAGAAACACUAACGAAUAAGGGGUGGGCAAGUUCUGGUGUCAGCCGCCGCGGUAAAACCAGCACCUCAAGUGGUCAGGAUGAUUAUUGGGCCUAAAGCAUCCGUAGCCUGCUUUGUAAGUUUUCGGUUAAAUCCAUAUGCUCAACAUAUGGGCUGCCGGGAAUACUGCACAGCUAGGGAGUGGGAGAGGUAGACGGUACUCGGUAGGAAGGGGUAAAAUCCUUUGAUCUAUUGAUGACCACCUGUGGCGAAGGCGGUCUACCAGAACACGUCCGACGGUGAGGGAUGAAAGCUGGGGGAGCAAACCGGAUUAGAUACCCGGGUAGUCCCAGCUGUAAACUAUGCAAACUCGGUGAUGCGUUGGCUUGUAGCUAGCGCAGUGCCGCAGGGAAGCCGUUAAGUUUGCCGCCUGGGAAGUACGUACGCAAGUAUGAAACUUAAAGGAAUUGGCGGGGGAGCAC
rnacentral:rRNA from 1 species